rnacentral:rRNA from 1 species
ACGAACGCUGGCGGCGUGCUUAACACAUGCAAGUCGAGCGGUAAGGCCCUUUCGGGGGUACACGAGCGGCGAACGGGUGAGUAACACGUGGGUGACCUGCCCUCAGCUCUGGGAUAAGCCUGGGAAACCGGGUCUAAUACCGGAUAUGACUCCAUGACGCAUGUUGUGGGGUGGAAAGCCUUGUGCGGCUGAGGAUGGGCCCGCGGCCUAUCAGCUUGUUGGUGGGGUGAUGGCCUACCAAGGCGACGACGGGUAGCCGGCCUGAGAGGGCGACCGGCCACACUGGGGACUGAGACACGGCCCAGACUCCUACGGGAGGCAGCAGUGGGGAAUCUUGCGCAAUGGGCGAAAGCCUGACGCAGCGACGCCGCGUGAGGGAUGACGGCCUGGUGUAACUCUU